rnacentral:rRNA from 1 species
CCUACGGGAGGCAGCAGUGAGGAAUAUUGGUCAAUGGGCGGAAGCCUGAACCAGCCAAGUAGCGUGCGGGAUGAAGGCCCUACGGGUCGUAAACCGCUUUUGCACGGGGAUAACACCCUCCACUUGUGGAGGUCUUCAGGUACCGUGCGAAUAAGGGACGGCUAAUUCCGUGCCAGCAGCCGCGGUAAUUCGGAAGGCCCGAGCGUUAUCCGGAUUCAUUGGGUUUAAAGGGUGCGCAGGCGGUCUGUUAAGUCAGCGGUAAAAGCCCGGGGCUCAACCCCGGCCCGCCGUUGAAACUGGCAGUCUCGAGUUGGAGAGAAGUAUGCGGAAUGCGCGGUGUAGCGGUGAAAUGCAUAGAUAUCGCGCAGAACUCCGAUUGCGAAGGCAGCAUGCCGGCGCCACACUGACGCUGAGGCACGAAAGCGUGGGUAUCGAACAGGAUUAGAUACCCUAGUAGUC